rnacentral:rRNA from 1 species
AGAUUGAACGCUGGCGGCAUGCCUUACACAUGCAAGUCGAACGGCAGCACGGGAGCAAUCCUGGUGGCGAGUGGCGAACGGGUGAGUAAUAUAUCGGAACGUGCCCAGUAAUGGGGGAUAGCCCGGCGAAAGCCGGAUUAAUACCGCAUACGACCUACGGGUGAAAGCGGGGGAUCGCAAGACCUCGCGUUAUUGGAGCGGCCGAUAUCAGAUUAGCUUGUUGGUGGGGUAAAAGCCUACCAAGGCGACGAUCUGUAGCUGGUCUGAGAGGACGACCAGCCACACUGGGACUGAGACACGGCCCAGACUCCUACGGGAGGCAGCAGUGGGGAAUUUUGGACAAUGGGCGCAAGCCUGAUCCAGCCAUGCCGCGUGUGGGAAGAAGGCCUUCGGUUGUAAACCACUUUGUCAGGAAGAAACGGCCCAAGUUAAUACCUAGGCUAAUGACGGUACCUGAAGAAUAAGCACCGGCUAACUACGUGCCAGCAGCCGCGUAA